rnacentral:rRNA from 1 species
AACGAACGCUGGCGGCAUGCCUAACACAUGCAAGUCGAACGAGACCUUCGGGUCUAGUGGCGCACGGGUGCGUAACGCGUGGGAACCUGCCCUUAGGUUCGGAAUAACUCCCCGAAAGGGGUGCUAAUACCGGAUAAUGUCUUCGGACCAAAGAUUUAUCGCCUUUGGAUGGGCCCGCGUUGGAUUAGCUAGUUGGUAGGGUAAAAGCCUACCAAGGCGACGAUCCAUAGCUGGUCUGAGAGGAUGAUCAGACACACUGGGACUGAGACACGGCCCAGACUCCUACGGGAAGCAGCAGUAGGGAAUAUUGGAAAAUGGGCGAAAGCCUGAUCCAGCAAUGCCGCGUGAGUGAUGAAGGCCUUAGGGUUGUAAAGCUCUUUUACACGGGAUGAUAAUGACAGUACCGGGAGAAUAAGCUCCGGCUAACUCCGUG